ensembl:lncRNA
CUCGGCGCCGCCCUGCCCGGCCCCCUGCAGGCCUCGGCGGCCAAGGCGGGCGGCCCGGGCGCCUCGGCGCUGGCGCGCUCGCCCUUCUCCAUCGAGAGCAUCAUCGGGGGCAGCCUGGGCCCGGCCGCCGCCGCCGCCGCCGCGCAGGCCGCCGUGGCCGUGCAGGCCUCGCCCUCCCCAUCUCCCGGGACGCCGUCCGCGCUCGGGGCCGGCGGUAGCGACGGCGGCGGCGGCGGCUGUGCGGCUCAGGCGGCCGUGGGUCCGGCCGCCGCGCUCACCCGCUCGCUCGUGGCCGCCGCCGCCGCCGCCGCCUCCUCCGUCUCCUCGUCGGCCGCCCUGGGGACUCUGCACCAAGGGACUGCCCUGUCCAGUGUCGAGAACUUUACUGCUAGGAUCUCAAAUUGUUAAUAACGCUAUGUUAGCGCGCUUGAGAAAGAGAAGUAGUCAUGAAUGGAUGUGAGAGUUGGACUGUAAAGAAAGCUGAGCGCUAAAGAAUUGAUGCUUUUGAACUGGUGUUGGAGAAGACUCUUGAGAGUCCCUUGGACUGCAAGGAGAUCCAACCAGUCCAUCCUAAAGGAAAUCAAUCCAGAAUAUUCAUUGGAAGGACUGAUGCUGUGGCUGAAACUCCAGUACUUUGGCCACCUGAUUCUAAGAACUGACUCAUUUGAAAAGACCCUGCUGCCGGGAAUGAUUGAAGGUGGGAGAAGAAGGGGACAACAGAGGAUGAGAUGGUUGGAUGGCAUCACCAGCUCAAUGGACAUAAGUUUGUGUAAGCUCCGGGAGUUUGUGAUAGACAGGGAGGCCUGGCGUGCUGCAGUUCAUGGGCUCACAAAGAGUCAGACACGACUGAGCGACUGAAUUGAACUGAAUGUUUGAGAUGAGCCUUGAAGAAGAAAGAAUAUUACACAGGGGAAGAGAAUUAUAAAAAAUAGCAGCAUGAGAGGGCAGGAUAAAAAGCAGGAUGUUUUCAGUGAGCAGAUAAUUGAACACUAAAAUCUCAUCACAUGGAGUCAACCAAAUGCCUGUAAUCAAUGGAUACUCCUAGUCUGGUCAACAAAAUCUGAGGUUUCUUUGACAGGGACUAGAAUCACUUCAGAGGUGAAGAGCAGGGAAAGGGUGGACUAGGGAUCCCUUAGCUUGAGUGUGUGGUUAAUUCUUGUACACUUAACACUUCCAGCAUAUUUCUAUUACCCUGACUUCAAAAUGGAAAAGUUCUACGGGGCGUAUGGUUUUCUGAAUCAGCAAAGGAGAAGGGUGAUUCCAGAGAUGUCUCAGACAUCUAGAGCCUGUUCUUAAUGUCCACCUUGAUAAAAGCUGGACAGGGAUACAAGGGUGAGGGGCGAGACUACUACCUGGGGCCUGCUGGAAAGAGUGAAGAGAGUCAGCCAGGCCCCAGGGGAUCCUUUUGAUGGGUCACUGUGGUACCACUCACAGCCAUUCCAUCAGGCCUCUUACUUGAGGGAUAACCAGAUGUCACCCCCAACUUCUCUAAGCUCUAGUCCUAGUUUUCUAAUGACUGUUAGACAUACCCAGGAUUUAAUAAGGCUCAACUUUAACAUUUCUAAAAUAAGCCUCUUUCCAUAACUGGCUUCCCUUUCUGACUGCUUUACUUCCAACAAGAGUACUCCAUUUUCACAUUAACCCAGGCUUAACAUUUUCAUAAUCUCCCUCUAUUUCACAUUAAUUCUCACAUCCACUCAUCUACCAAGUUUGGUCAAUUCUUCCUCUGCAAAGACUCACUCCUCCUGUUUCCACUCUCACACUCAGACAUCAAGCCCCUAUCACCCUGUGCCUGUACCGCUUAAGUAAUUUUUUUCCUCUGGUCUUCUUAUCUCCAGUCUCCCCACUGUCCACUAUAUGCUGCAGAUUACCUUUUCCCAAACCUCUUUAUCAUGUCACACUUUGCCCAAGAAUGAAAAGUCAUUCUUUAUAGGUUGCAUGAUGGAGUAGUAAGUUUACCUUAUAAACAAGAUCUUUCACAACUGGGCCAAACUUACUGUCUCAGCAGACACUACAGUCUUCCUGCUUUUCACACUAUUAUUCUCCAUACCUGUACCAUCUUUUCUUCUUCUAUGGUCUCCACACCUAGCUGAGAUACUUCCCCUCUUGAAGAAUACCACUACUACAUAAAAAGCAAGGCCACACAAAUACUGUUAUUACAUGAAUGCUGUUACUACAUAGUUAACAUGUAUGGAGCACUUUCUGCUGAGUCCUUUGCUAAUUAUGUUAUGCAAAUAAUCUCAUUUUAAUUCUCACAACCAUCCUAUAAAGUACAUCCCUGGUUUUCACAGGGGAGAAGUAAAGCAUGAUAACAUUGAGCAGCCUGUCACUGUCAUAUAUCCUUAAGUAGAUGAGCUACUUAAGGUGAGGUUCUGAUUUCAGAACCUGGGCACCAUUAGUCUUCAUGCUCCCAGAGAAGGACUUGUCUCUCCAAACCUGAAGAAUUUAUUAAAUGUACUACUUAAUUGGCAUUCAUUCUAUAGGACACCAUCACCAAUAAAUCACAUAGGGCUGUUGAAUUAACUAUUUAGAUGAACAAAUUUAAUACAUUAUAUAAUCAGGGAGGGUGAUUCUUUGGGAGAAUCACCCUGGUGAGAUAUCUAUUAAGAGCUUUUAUGAUGUGUUCAUAUGCACUGUCCUCUAUUAAGUAUCCACUGUGUUUUAAGCUGCUUAAAAGAAAGCCUAUACCUUGUAAUUCUCUGUAUUCCUCUAAUAUCUUGUACAUGAUUAGCAUUUGAUAAAUAUUUUCCAGCUGAUGAAUAAACUAACUAAUCUAUCAUUCAAC